UGGGGAAUAUUGGACAAUGGGGGGAACCCUGAUCCAGCCAUGCCGCGUGUGUGAAGAAGGCCUUAUGGUUGUAAAGCACUCUAAGCGAGGAGGAGGGUACUGGUAUUAAUACUACCAGCUACUGGACGGUACUCGCAGAAUAAGCACCGGCUAACUCUGUGCCAGCAGCCGCGGUAAUACAGAGGGUGCAAGCGUUAAUCGGAAUUACUGGGCGUAAAGCGCGCGUAGGUGGUUCGUUAAGUUGAAUGGGAAAGCCCCGGGCUCAACCUGGGAACGGAAUCCAAAACUGGCGAGCUGGAGUAGGGCAGAGGGUGGUGGAAUUUCCUGUGUAGCGGUGAAAUGCGUAGAUAUAGGAAGGAACGCCAGUGGGGAAGGCGACCGCCUGGGCUCAUACUGACACUGAGGUGCGAAAGCGUGGGGAGCAAACAGG
rnacentral:rRNA from 1 species